rnacentral:miRNA from 1 species
UGGAAGAAAGAGGAAAAAGUA